rnacentral:rRNA from 1 species
GAUUAUGGCUCAGGAUGAACGCUAGCGACAGGCUUAACACAUGCAAGUCGAGGGGCAGCAUAAAAGUAGCAAUACUUGGUGGCGACCGGCGCACGGGUGAGUAACGCGUAUGCAACCUACCUAUCAGGAGGGGAAUAACCCGGCGAAAGUCGGACUAAUACCGCAUAAAACAGGGGCACCGCAUGGUGAUAUUUGUUAAAGAGAUUCGCUGAUAGAUGGGCAUGCGUUCCAUUAGGUAGUUGGUGAGGUAACGGCUCACCAAGCCGACGAUGGAUAGGGGAACUGAGAGGUUGGUCCCCCACACUGGUACUGAGACACGGACCAGACUCCUACGGGAGGCAGCAGUGAGGAAUAUUGGUCAAUGGGCGAGAGCCUGAACCAGCCAAGUCGCGUGAAAGGAAGAAGGAUCUAUGGUUCGUAAACUUCUUUUGCAGGGGAAUAAAGUGCAGGACGUGUCCUGUUUUGUAUGUACCCUGAGAAUAAGGAUCGGCUAACUCCGUGCCAGCCGCUGC